UGUUUAUUUUUCCAUUUCAUCUUUGAACAAACUAAAGGUGUUUCAUUUUUUUGCCCCAUAGAGAUGGGUUAUUCAAUUACAUGUCUCUUUCCAGUUCUAAGUUACACAGCCUUCGGUCAGCAAAACAAAUUUAUUUUUCCAUGUUGAAAAAGAUAAACUCAUAAGAUAAGAUCACCUACCUAAUGGUUCCAAAAUCUGAUUUGUGCGUUAAAAUCACAUGGGGAAACUAUCGAUGUAUAAUCAAAUGCUAGCUAAUUUGCCAUUAGUCCAAUUUCAUUUUAGGGACCACUGACUUCAUUUUACAGGCAGGGAAGUUGAAGGUAACACAAUUUGUGGCAGAGUUGGCCAAGAGACCCCAAAUCUCCUCCCAGCUUACAGUCCUGUUUUCAUUCUACUGAACCUUCCCUUACAUGAAACAACUUCCAGGAUUAAAGAGAUAAAUAUCUGUCAAUGAAAUUUUAAAUGGAUUUUUGGACAUAUCUCUUCUAUUUGUUUCCCCUGAAUUUCUACUUUCUAUGAGUACAUUGGAUGUCAAGUUCCUUAAUAGCAAGAACCUUUAUGAAAAGUGACCAACAGCACAAAAUCCUAUACUAAGUACUGGUCAGAACAAACUUCGAAGACACAGUUUCAUCCAUUAGGAGCUUAUUUACUCAGCAUUUACUGAAGGCUCACUCUGUGCAUACUCUCUGCUAGGCCCUCUGGGGAUAUAAGAAUUUUAAACAGAUUUGCUUCAAAGGAACGCGCAGUCUCAUCGAAUAGAGAGGACCCAAACAUACAAAAAGGUGGGGCUUCCCUUGGGCCCCAGAGGACCCCAUCUGGAGAUCAUUGUAGGCGAAAGGAAAUCGUUCUGGAGAUCAUUCUAGGUUAAAGGAAAGAGUUGCGCAAAGAAGAGGAAGGGAUGUCAAAUAGCAGGCACGGCGAGCCUGAGGCCAGUGUUCAACUGGAAUGGCAGGUGAUGUGGAGAAAUAGGCCCAAGGCUAUAUAUAUAUUUGUUGGUGUUGGCUUGUGGUGGCCUUGAAUACCAGGCUAAGGAAUUUUACCAACAUUUUAGGAUCAAACCAAAACUCGUUUAGACUUUAUAAAGCUGGGCAAGGGCUUUUUAAGACCCAGCCCUAGUUUGCUCCUCUCUGGGCGCUGCUCAGUUCGUAGUAUUGACUGCCAGCUUCUCAGAAGAUAGCAGCAAUGAAUCUGGCAGCUGGAACGUGUCUCCGUCCUCUCUGCCUACCCCAGGAGAUUGUGUCUGCACAUGGCUGUUGUUGGACUCUGGGUGAGUUUUCAAUUAUUGGUUGACAGUGUUUUAAGAAGGUUACAGUCCAUCAACAAGAGUGCUUGCUUCAUGGUCCUCUCCUCGCUGAAUCAGCUCUAAGGUGACCCUCUGUUUGGGAUCCUCCUUAACCACUAGGAAGCUCUCAGCUGAGUUUCCCAUCCAACCUUGGUAGCUCUGCAAGGCCUUACAGCAAGUGUUCUGCACACUAAUUUCCCCGGCCUCCUUUUCUUCUACUUUUCUUCUGAUUUGUUUUUAACAUCUUAUUACAGCAUAAAAUUUUAUAAACCAAUACUUAUAAAUGUAAUAAAUAAAAGCAAAC
rnacentral:lncRNA from 10 species